AAAGAAUUUCGUCAAUAGGACCUGUACUUUUCAUUUGGGAGCGAUUUGUUUCGGCCUGACUUUUCUGUUCAUUUUAAGCAGCAAAAGUGAGGUGCAUGUCUGUGUGCGUGUGUACUGAGCCAUUGGGUGCAGUUACUAUAGCAACCAGGCUCACACCUGCCUGCCUAACGAGCUCUGUCUCUCACUGUGCCAAGAUUCAUCUUAAACACUUCUCUUUCAACUGCUGCUGUGUCCACAGUGUUUGCUCUACAGCCAUCAUUUUACCCUCAAAACGAAGCCAUCGUUCUUCUCUUUCCAACAGCAUGUCUUUCAAAGCUCAGAGAUGUAAACCUUUAAAAGUGUGUGGAUCCAAGUGUAGGGAUUACACUUUAGUCAUUCAGUGAUUCAAAGAAUAUGAACUUUUAAUAUUCAUUCAGGUGUUUUCUGACUCUAAAUUUUCUGUUCUCAUUUCUUAGGUUUUCCAAAUUUUAAUUUAAAAACUUUUCAGCUAUUUUCCAACUUCUUCUGUGUGAACAUCAGCUUUCAAAAGUUCUGCACUUUUGUUUUCAGGUUAAAAACUCUGCAUUUUCCAGCUCAUUCAACAUUUUUAUUUUUAACUCAAAAUUCAGCAAUUAAUUCAUUUCAGUGCAUACAUUCAGAUUCAAGCAUUCACACUGCAGUUUCUUCAGAAAAUGCACUUUCUAGUUAUUAUUAAUUCCGUACGUUUUUUGUACUCUAUCUCCUUCAAAACCGUUCAACUUAGAAAAACCAUUCAAACACCAUUAGAUUCCUCUUCUUUAGGACAUGACUGCUUCUACUUUUCUCAUUUAUAACAUUUAUAUUUUUAAUUUUAUUCAACUUUUUUC
ensembl:lncRNA